rnacentral:rRNA from 1 species
AUUGAACGCUGGCGGCAGGCCUAACACAUGCAAGUCGAGCGGUAGAGAGAAGCUUGCUUCUCUUGAGAGCGGCGGACGGGUGAGUAAUGCCUAGGAAUCUGCCUGGAAGUGGGGGAUAACGUUCGGAAACGGACGCUAAUACCGCAUACGUCCUACGGGAGAAAGCAGGGGACCUUCGGGCCUUGCGCUAUCAGAUGAGCCUAGGUCGGAUUAGCUAGUUGGUGGGGUAAUGGCUCACCAAGGCGACGAUCCGUAACUGGUCUGAGAGGAUGAUCAGUCACACUGGAACUGAGACACGGUCCAGACUCCUACGGGAGGCAGCAGUGGGGAAUAUUGGACAAUGGGCGAAAGCCUGAUCCAGCCAUGCCGCGUGUGUGAAGAAGGUCUUCGGAUUGUAAAGCACUUUAAGUUGGGAGGAAGGGCAGUAAAUUAAUACUUUGCUGUUUUGACGUUACCGACAGAAUAAGCACCGGCUAACUCUGUG